CACAAGCGGCGGAGCAUGUGGAUUAAUUCGAUGCAACGCGAAGAACCUUACCAGGGCUUGACAUACACUGGAAUGGGCGUGAAAGCGUCCAGCCCCUCGGGGCCGGUGUACAGGUGCUGCAUGGCUGUCGUCAGCUCGUGCUGUGAAGUGUUGGGUUAAGUCCCCGCAACGAGCGCAACCCCUGCUAUCUGUUGCCAGCAAGUAAUGUUGGGGACUCAGAUGGAACUGCCGGUGACAAACCGGAGGAAGGUGGGGACGACGUCAAGUCAUCAUGGCCCUUAUGUCCUGGGCUACACACGUGCUACAAUGGCCGGUACAGAGCGCAGCGAAGCCGCGAGGCAAAGCGAAUCGCAAAAAGCCGGUCUCAGUACGGAUUGGAGUCUGAAACUCGACUCCAUGAAGUUGGAAUCGCUAGUAAUCGCGCAUCAGCAUGGCGCGGUGAAUACGUUCCCGGGCCUU
rnacentral:rRNA from 1 species